UGGGCAGUUUGACUGGGGCGGUCUCCUCCCAAAGCGUAACGGAGGAGUUCGAAGGUACGCUAGUUACGGUCGGAAAUCGUGACGAUAGUGCAUUGGCAUAAGCGUGCUUGACUGCGAGACUGACAAGUCGAGCAGGUACGAAAGUAGGACAAAGUGAUCCGGUGGUUCUGUAUGGAAGGGCCAUCGCUCAACGGAUAAAAGGUACUCUGGGGAUAACAGGCUGAUACCGCCCAAGAGUUCAUAUCGACGGCGGUGUUUGGCACCUCGAUGUCGGCUC
rnacentral:rRNA from 1 species